rnacentral:rRNA from 1 species
CUGGAACUGAUGGCUAUACCCGGAAGGGCCAGAGGGGAAAGGGUUGGCUGCCUGAAANGAGCUCGCGUCUGAUUUAGCUGUUGGUGUGGUAAUGGCCUACCUGGCGGCGAUCAGUAGCUGGUCUGAGAGGAUGAUCAGCCACACUGGGACUGAGACACGGCCCAGACUCCUACGGGAGGCAGCAGUGGGGAAUUUUCCGCAAUGGGCGAAAGCCUGACGGAGCAAUACCGCGUGAGGGAGGAAGGCUCUUGGGUUGUAAACCUCUUUUUUCAGGAAGAAAAAAUGGCGGACCUUGAGGAUCAACCUCCGGUAACUUCCUGGCCACCGCCCGCGGAAUUCCGAAGAAGGCAGCCUUUUCCCGAAUUGUUGGGCGGUAAGCGGCCCCCAGGGGGUUUACUAUGCCGGUGGCUAAGCACGGAGGUUCACUCCCUUAGGACGGUGGAAACUGUGAGACUAGAGUGGGUUCGGGUCACAGGAAUUCCUGGGGAGCGGGGAAAUGCGUAAAGUUGGGAAGAACACCGGCGGCGAAAGCGCUCUCUGGACCGGCAACUGACACUGAGGGACGAAAGCUAGGGGAGCGAAAGGGAUUAGAUACCCUGUAGUCA